rnacentral:rRNA from 1 species
AUGGCGGACCGGCGCACGGGUGAGUAACGCGUAUGCAACCUGCCCGAUACCGGGGUAUAGCCCAUGGAAACGUGGAUUAACACCCCAUAGUACUUUUAUCCUGCCUGGGAUGGGAGUUAAAUGUUCAAGGUAUCGGAUGGGCAUGCGUCCUAUUAGUUAGUUGGCGGGGUAACAGCCCACCAAGACGAUGAUAGGUAGGGGUUCUGAGAGGAAGGUCCCCCACAUUGGAACUGAGACACGGUCCAA